UUUUUGAAGAUCUGAUGAAGUAAUGGACCUUGAGAUGGGAACCUUACUGUGGAGUAUCUUGGGAGGAAUAGAUCUGGGCGGAAGGGCUUUCCUCCGUAGGCAUUCUCCACUCUGAAAAUCUUCUCUGAUGGGAUGAGAAUAAUUGAAAUUACAAGAAAGAAUGCAGCAUGAAAACACUGUAGCAGCAGCCAGACUGAGUUGGUCCCAGCCCCACUCCACAGCCAUGGGUGCCCAGGGUGAAGGUCACAGAGCCAAGGCCAGCACUCCAAAGGAUGACUGUGCCACCAGAUGGGACCUAUUGGCAGCCUCUAAAUCCGCCAUUGCUCACAGAUGUGUUUUUCUGGAUUCCCAAGGUAUCC